AUUGAACGCUGGCGGCAGGCUUAACACAUGCAAGUCGAGCGGGGUGAUGGUGCUUGCACUAUCACUUAGCGGCGGACGGGUGAGUAAUGCUUAGGAAUCUGCCUAUUAGUGGGGGACAACAUCUCGAAAGGGAUGCUAAUACCGCAUACGUCCUGCGGGAGAAAGCAGGGGAUCACUUGUGACCUUGCGCUAAUAGAUGAGCCUAAGUCGGAUUAGCUAGUUGGUGGGGUAAAGGCCUACCAAGGCGACGAUCUGUAGCGGGUCUGAGAGGAUGAUCGGCCAAACUGGGACUGAGACACGGCCCAGACUCCUACGGGAGGCAGCAGUGGGGAAUAUUGGACAAUGGGGGGAACCCUGAUCCAGCCAUGCCGCGUGUGUGAAGAAGGCCUUAUGGUUGUAAAGCACUUUAAGCGAGGAGGAGGCUCUUUUGGUUAAUACCCAAGAUGAGUGGACGUUACUCGCAGAAUAAGCACCGGCUAACUCUGUGCCAGCCGCCGCCGUAA
rnacentral:rRNA from 1 species